rnacentral:rRNA from 1 species
GACGAACGCUGGCGGCGUGCUUAAUACAUGCAAGUCGAGCGAGGUUACUGUUUUGGAUCCCUUCGGGGUGAAGAAGCUUUAACCUAGCGGCGGACGGGUGAGUAACGCGUGGGUAACCUACCCCAAAGUCCGGGAUAACAGCGGGAAACCGCUGCUAAUACCGGAUGUCUUUACCUUGGGGCAUCUUGAGGUAAAGAAAGGUAACGCUUUGGGAUGGGCCCGCGUCCCAUUAGCUAGUUGGUGAGGUAACGGCUCACCAAGGCGACGAUGGGUAGCCGGCCUGAGAGGGUGGACGGCCACACUGGGACUGAGACACGGCCCAGACUCCUACGGGAGGCAGCAGUAGGGAAUAUUGCGCAAUGGACGGAAGUCUGACGCAGCGACGCCGCGUGAGCGAUGAAGGUCUUCGGAUCGUAAAGCUCUGUCCUUGGGGAAGAAGGUCUUCGGACUUGACGGUACCCAAGAAGAAAGCCCCGGCUAACUACGUGCCAGCAGGCCGCGGUAAAGUCGACGUCG